rnacentral:rRNA from 1 species
GUCCACGCCCUAAACGAUGAUCACUAGUUGUUCGGAAAGGUGACUUUCUGAGUAACGUAGCUAACGCGUGAAGUGAUCCGCCUGGGGAGUACGGUCGCAAGAUUAAACUCAAAGGAAUUGACGGGGACCCGCACAAGCGGUGGAUGAUGUGGAUUAAUUCGAUGCAACGCGAAAACCUUACCUACCCUUGACAUGCCUGGAAGAUCGCAGAGAUGUGAUUGUGCCUUCGGGGAACCAGGACACAGGUGCUGCAUGGCUGUCGU